rnacentral:rRNA from 1 species
AUUGAACGCUGGCGGCAGGCCUAACACAUGCAAGUCGAGCGGUUGAGGUAGCUUGCUACCGAUGCAGCGGCGGACGGGUGAGUAAUACAUGGGAAUCUGCCUGGUAGUGGGGGACAACGUUUCGAAAGGAACGCUAAUACCGCAUACGCCCUACGGGGAAAGGGGGGAGUCGCAAGACCUCUCGCUAUCAGAUGAGCCCA